rnacentral:lncRNA from 1 species
GAUGCUAGGGUUUCAUGGUUGAGCCAUUUCAUCAGGAGUUUGGGGCUCAAUUUGAUCAGUGCGUAGCCAAAUUCAUCUAUCUGUCAGAAAAGUCAAUUGUGGUCAACGGUGCCUGGAUUGAUGGAUUUGGAGGAGGGAAAGGGCAAGAGAUACUCCAUUCAUGUUCAAACAAGUCUCAUUUGACAUUUCAGAUACUCACAUUGAAG